rnacentral:rRNA from 1 species
UACGAAGGGGGGCUAGCGUUGCUCGGAAUCACUGGGCGUAAAGGGUGCGUAGGCGGGUCUUUUAAGUCAGGGGUGAAAUCCUGGAGCUCAACUCCAGAACUGCCUUUGAUACUGAGGAUCUUGAGUUCGGGAGAGGUGAGUGGAACUGCGAGUGUAGAGGUGAAAAUUCGUAGAUAUUCGCAAGAACACCAGUGGCGAAGGCGCUCACUGGCCCGAUACUGACGCUGAGGCACGAAAAGCGUGGGGAGCAAACAGGG